rnacentral:rRNA from 1 species
GACGAACGCUGGCGGCGUGCUUAACACAUGCAAGUCGAACGGAAAGGCCCUGCUUUUGUGGGGUGCUCGAGUGGCGAACGGGUGAGUAACACGUGAGUAACCUGCCCUUGACUUUGGGAUAACUUCAGGAAACUGGGGCUAAUACCGGAUAGGAGCUCCUGCUGCAUGGUGGGGGUUGGAAAGUUUCGGCGGUUGGGGAUGGACUCGCGGCUUAUCAGCUUGUUGGUGGGGUAGUGGCUUACCAAGGCUUUGACGGGUAGCCGGCCUGAGAGGGUGACCGGCCACAUUGGGACUGGGGUACGGCCCAGACUCCUACGGGAGGCAGCAGUGGGGAAUAUUGCACAAUGGGCGGAAGCCUGAUGCAGCAACGCCGCGUGCGGUAUGACGGCCUUCGGGUUGUAAACCGCUUUCGCCUGUGACGAAGCGUGAGUGACGGUAAUGGGUAAAGAAGCACCGGCUAACUACGUG